CCAAAUUAAAACACAAAUCCGCGACAGGUCCCGUUUAAGGCUGAAGUGAUUUCUUUGGUAUUGUUGCAGACGCAACUUCUGAGUCAUCGGAAUCAUGUUCAGCGUGUGAGAGAGGAGCGAGGGAGACAGGUAGCUGCUGAGGAAGGGAAAUAUCAAACUCUACUGGACAUUGACAGCGCCUUAAGCAGGUGUGAGCAGGUGAAAGGUGAAGAGGAGGCGCCUGUUGAUUCUUUGACUGAACUGGAGAGCAGAGUGCAGGCUCUCUGGGAAAGCCAGAAAGUUUUACGUGAUCUGCUGAAGAAUUUCAGAGUGGAAUUAGCUCCAGAAUUGGGUCCUCUUGAAAACAUCUCGUCUGAGGUUCAGAGACAAGUGAGUGGUGAAGACCCAACGGAGGAUGUUCCCGAGAACCUUAAACAAGAGGACACUUCUGUUUGCCUGCUGAACUGUGAGGAUGGCAAACACAGUUCAGACAGGUAAGUGUCUUCUUCUCUCUGUCACACUCAUACUUCGC
rnacentral:lncRNA from 1 species